rnacentral:lncRNA from 12 species
UUGCAAUCUCCUUGGUUAAGGACCCAGUUGAUCACCCAUCCAGUAAGGGCUUCACUAAUUCCUAACUCCUGGAGAGUAAAGGAACGCUCUAGAGGCAUUCUGCAUGGUUAGGGGGGCAGGAUGAGGAUGUUUUGGCAUCACCUCAGCUGAGGAUGACUUUUUUU